GAUGAACGCUGGCGGCGUGCCUAAUACAUGCAAGUCGAGCGAACAGACGAGGAGCUUGCUCCUCUGACGUUAGCGGCGGACGGGUGAGUAACACGUGGAUAACCUACCUAUAAGACUGGGAUAACUUCGGGAAACCGGAGCUAAUACCGGAUAAUAUAUUGAACCGCAUGGUUCAAUAGUGAAAGACGGUUUUGCUGUCACUUAUAGAUGGAUCCGCGCCGCAUUAGCUAGUUGGUAAGGUAACGGCUUACCAAGGCAACGAUGCGUAGCCGACCUGAGAGGGUGAUCGGCCACACUGGAACGGAGACACGGUCCAGACUCCUACGGGAGGCAGCAGUAGGGAAUCUUACGCAAUGGGCGAAAGCCUGACGGAGCAACGCCGCGUGAGUGAUGAAGGUCUUCGGAUCGUAAAACUCUGUUAUUAGGGAAGAACAAAUGUGUAAGUAACUAUGCACGUCUUGACGGUACCUAAUCAGAAAGCCACGGCCAACUACGUG
rnacentral:rRNA from 1 species